GCCUGGCUAGCUCAGUUGGUAGAGCUAUGAGACUCUCAAUCUCAGGGUUGUGGGUUGGAGCCCCAUGUUAGGCG